CGAGCCGGCCUGGCGAUCGCUUCGCCGCAAGGCGGAGAGGAAAGUCCGGACUCCAAAGGGCAGGGCGCUAGGUAACUCCUAGGCACCGCGAGGUGACGGAAAGUGCCACAGAAAACACACCGCCGAUGACGCCGCGAGGCGCACAGGCAAGGGUGCAAAGGUGCGGUAAGAGCGCACCGCGGCGGCGGCGACGGCGCCGGCAGGGCAAACCCCGCCCGGAGCAAGGCCAAGCAGGGUCUUUGGCGCUGCCCGCGCCGACCCGGGUGGGCUGCAUGAGGCCAGCGGCGACGCUGGUCCCAGAUGAAUGGUCGUCCACGACAGAAUCCGGCUUAGCGGCUGGCUCGCACC
rnacentral:RNase_P_RNA from 1 species